CUAGGGAAGCAUUCUUUUUUGCUCAUCGUGAUUUCUGUGUGAUUCCUCCUGUUUUCUGAGCCUGUCACCCCCUUCCUCUUCCCUUGCCUCUCCACUGGGACUUUCCAGAGUGCAGCCACCUCCCCUCGCUGUGCUUCUGUGACUCUGAGGCCCAGGAGGAAGUUGCCCUGUUCUGGAGAGGGUUCACGUUUGAUCCAGCCUAGUGUUCUGGGGCACGGCCAGUCUGGGACCGCUUUGACCCUCAUUCACGGUUUCCCUUCAGAUACUUCUUGUUUGGCCUGCCUUCCUCGUCUAGGAAAUGGAUUUUUCUCAUUUUUCUAUUGAGUCACUUGUUUUGUUGGUAUGGAGUUGUAGGAGGUGUUUCUGAAUUCUGCCUCAAACCCCAUGUUGGUUUUUUGUAUUUCAGAGACCUCGUCCGCUCAGGGGCUUGUUCUUCGUCUCUUUGCAGGGCUGUUUUGGACUCAGUAUUCACCUAAGCACUCCGAAUUACCCAGCACACCCUGCCUGCGCAGCUCUGUGCUGCACCUUCACUCUAGUCACGGGUGUAGCGGUCAGCUCACCAAUUCCUCCUGCUUCCCUGGGACUCGCCGGCUUUUAGCACUGCAAGUCCCUCAGCAAACUGGGACUGUUGAUCACCCUCCCUGGCAGCCAGUGAUAAGGACUUGUGUCAUUGGCAUGACAGACCUGCCUUGGCUGAGCGUUCAACUGUCUUUGGAGUUCAGCCACCUUAGCAAGUCCUGGGUUUGUUCUUCAGACUUUGCUGCUUGCCCAUUGCCUGGGUCGGGAGCUACUUUGUAAACUACCAGGAAGACUCCAGUGUUUCUGCUUAAUUUUUAGAUGUUUGUUAAUUGCCCUUGGCCUCUCAUUAAUCCCCGUGGGUCACUCAGGAAACAUACCACUGUCCAUUCCCUGAGUUUUCAUUUCCAGGCAUCUGCCCUGCCUGGAUCUCGUCGCCUUCCAGGAACUUCCUCUUCACAAGCCGGCCAUCCCGGCAAAAGUUCUAACAUCAAAGGUCUAGCAACGAGCCUGCCAUCUUGUCCCUAGAGCCACCUGAGUGCCCCAUGUCCCCGAAGAUGGGAACCUCGUUGCCAGUUGGGCAGAUGCAGGACAAUCCUGUACCAAGACCCCAUCUUACCACCUGUUUUCUCGGACCACUCUGGAACCCACUGUCUCAGAUUGGGUCCUCCAGGAAGCAGACUGUGAGAGGGAGUUGGCAGGACCAAAGGUUUACCGGGGCUAACUAACCCUCAGGAAAGGGACAGGAAGGAAGCAGGGCUGGAGAGCAGGUUGAGCCCGACCUGACAGUCUUGAGCAGCCCAGCAGGGAGGUGUGGAGCAAGGGUUGCCCACUAGAGGGGCCUGCAUUGGGCAUGGGUGGUGGGGUCCACAUGGUACCUGGCACACAGCAGGCUGUGCAAUCCAUAUUAACUGCCUGGAUGAAUUAAUGCCCAGGAAAGGUGCCCUGGAGAACGGGUAUGUGCUGAGCACAAUAGGGAAGGGCCCAGCAUCUGCCUUGGCAUAGGCAGAACUGUGCUGUGCCCUGCAACAGGCCACCCGAGAGCUGCUUUCAUCUCGUGUGUGCAUUAGACAACUGCCAGGGGCAUGAAGGGGAUGUGCCUCCAGGGCAUUUGCUGGUAGGGCGUCUCGUGAUCUCUUGGUAUUGGUGUGAGCACAGCCUGGCAGGAGAGGGCGGAUCUCAGUGCAAAGUAUCAUGUCAAAAAGCAGAUUGAAGCCAGGCCCCCUCCUGGAAGAGGCUCCUUGAAGGUAGGUGCACACUCAUGUCUUUGUUACUUGUAAGG
ensembl:lncRNA